rnacentral:misc_RNA from 1 species
GAUGAAGAACGUAGCGAAAUGCGAUACGUAAUGUGAAUUGCAGAAUUCAGUGAAUCAUCGGAUCUUUGAACGCACAUUGCGCCCGCCAGCACUCUGGCGGGCAUGCCUGUUCGAGCGUCAUUUCAACCAUCAAGCCCCAGGCUUGCGUUGGAGCCCUGCGGCUGCCGCAGCCUCCUAAAAGCAGUGGCGGGCUCGCUAUCACACCGAGUGCAGUAGAUUACUCUUCGCUCAGGGCGUGCAGCGGGUUCCGGCCGUGAAACCCCCUACUUUUAAAGGUUGACCUCGGAUCAGGUAGGAAUACCCGCUGAACUUAAGCAUAUCAAUAAGCGGAGGA